CCUACGGGUGGCAGCAGUGGGGAAUAUUGCACAAUGGGGGAAACCCUGAUGCAGCAACGCCGCGUGAAGGAAGACGGUUUUCGGAUUGUAAACUUCUGUUCUUAGUGAAGAAUAAUGACGGUAGCCAAGGAGCAAGCCACGGCGAACUACGUGCCAGAAGCCGCGGUAAUACGGAGGUGGCAAGGGUUGUCCGGAAUUACUGGGUGUACAGGGAGCGCAGGCGGGACGCCAAGGCAGCUGUGCAAACUACGGGCUUAACUUGUAGACUGCAGUUGAAACUGGUUGUCUUGAGUGAAGUAGGGGUUGGCGGAAUUCCGAGUGUAGCGGUGAAAUGCGUAGAUAUUCGGAGGAACACCGGUGGCGAUGGCGGCCCACUGGGCUUUAACUGACGCUGAGGCUCGAAAGUGUGGGGAGCAAACAGGAUUAGAUACCCCAGUAGUC
rnacentral:rRNA from 1 species